rnacentral:rRNA from 1 species
CCUACGGGUGACAGCAGUGAGGAAUAUUGGUCAAUGGCCGAGAGGCUGAACCAGCCAAGUCGCGUGAGGGAAGACGGCCCUACGGGUUGUAAACCUCUUUUGUCGGGGAGCAAAGAGAGUCACGUGUGACUCAUUGAGAGUACCCGAAGAAAAAGCAUCGGCUAACUCCGUGCCAGCAGCCGCGGUAAUACGGAGGAUGCGAGCGUUAUCCGGAUUUAUUGGGUUUAAAGGGUGCGCAGGCGGAGGUGCAAGUCAGCGGUCAAAUUGCGGGGCUCAACCCCGUACUGCCGUUGAAACUGCAUCCCUUGAGUGCGCGAGAGGUAUGCGGAAUGCGUGGUGUAGCGGUGAAAUGCAUAGAUAUCACGCAGAACCCCGAUUGCGAAGGCAGCCUUCCGGCGCCCUACUGACGCUGAGGCACGAAAGUGCGGGGAUCGAACAGGAUUAGAUACCCGGGUAGUC